rnacentral:tRNA from 1 species
AGUUAUCUAGUUUAAGUUAAAACACAAGCUUGUCGAGUUUGAGAUAUAUUGAGUAUGAUAACUU